rnacentral:lncRNA from 1 species
CUUCAAUUGGAUGAUCCUAUUAAGUCACCACCACCCAACUAUGAGCAGGCACUUCCCUUUUCAUUCUGUAAGGUGAGAUAGGUAUUGUAAACCAAAAAUAAAAUUUGAACCUCCUCUCACCUUCCUGCAACCACCUGAAUGGACUUUCUCCUCGGCCACGCACUCUAAAAUGUAACUUGAAAGACUGGUUCAGGCCAUGACAGGAAAUGAGGAUUGGACGUGCCUCAUUAUACCUCUCCACCAUUAACUUUCCUUUACAUUGACAUCAUAAAGUAUUGCAUCACAGGGUUUCUGAGUACCACUACUUAACACUUAAGGUUGUACUCACUAUGUGCCAAUUCUCUAAGUCCUCCGCAUGGGUGAAAUUAUUUAGUCUUUGCUACCAGCCUGUAGUGACUCAGAUCUGAAGCAGAACAAUCCUUCAUCCAGGGAGACCAAAGAGGAAAGCACUGUGGUUGAAACCUGCUAUUGCUACAUACUAGCACUGGUGAUCUUCAGCAACUAACUGAUGGUAGCGGGGCUGAA